AGCUCUUGUCGGGUUGUUUGGAAAGGCUUGCAAGGGAGCCGAUGCUGCCGGGUGCUGAGUGCUGGUUGUAAGCAGCUGGAUGUUUUCCUGCGCCCAUUUUUGAUCUCCAGUUGAAAGCAGCACUUGAAGAGCAUUGAGGCUCCCUGUGCACGUUUCAGAAGCCAGGUGGACUCCUCCAGGUCUGCCAGGACUCCAGACACAUUCUCUGUGGAAGCUGCCCAGAUGGCACAGAACCCACAUCCUGCUUUUUACUGCUUCUUUUGGAGACUCCACUGGCUUGCCAGGUUUUUAACUUGAUCUGGGGAAGGGUUCAACAGAGGGAACUGACCUCAGAAAAUCAAUGUGCACUGUGAAUUUGGAGAAAGGAGUGGGCAAGCCCUGUGGGACAGCAGUGCAUUCCUGAACAAGAGGCAGCAAAGCUUGGUGGGACCUGUGCUCUUCCCUGAAGAUCUGAGCAGCAGAAAAAUGCAAAGAUUAAAAAACCCAUUCUAGAGGGGACUUCCACACUCCUGCUCCUCCUCUGGGAGCAGAGCUGGGCUGUUGCUCCCUUGGCUCUUGGACAGCAGGACUGCUGCAGGUUGGGAAAUCCUGCUGUUCUCUCUGUAAGGACUGAUCUGGGAGAAGGAUCAUGGUGAUUUCAUCUCUGGAAAGAAGCCUUGUUAAUACAGCCUUGAUGUGCAAAGCUGGACUGGAUUUUUCAACCUCCAUUUAUGUUUUAUAUCUGGGGGAUGGAACCUCCACAGAUUCUCUGGGUGAUGAUGAGGAGCCAAUGUUUCAGCUCUCCACUUAAAAAGCAUCAUCUUCAAUCAAAAUCAUCCUCCUCAUCUUCAGAGGCACAGGUGCUCCCUGGACAUCACUAGAAAACACUGGGCUUUUCCCUACUGCAGAAGUCAUGUGGAUGUAUUCACUGCCUCCUUAACCUGUUUACCAACAUUUCAACCUCCUCACUGAAAGUGAAGAAUUGUGCAACUGCUGAGGAAAGGCUAUGAAUAUUGACAAACACUUGAAACAACAGAUGUGUUUCAAAGAGGAACUGGAACUGGUUUGCAGGCUCUGAGAAUGGUGUGGGCUGGCAGUGCACAUCCUACUCUCACUUUAGGCUAUCAUGCCAAAUUCCCAGCUAGUGAAAUCUCAUCACAAGGUGGUGGCUUGGAAAACAUGAGACAAACUUUUCUGUCAUCAAAGAGCAAGCGUUUUGUUUGCUUUAUGUUCUUUCCUCCUGAGAGCUAUGAAGAAAUGUAGUGUUAGACAAUUGAAAUGUGCAUUUGUGAAACAGCUUAAAAGGAAUCAUGGAAGAAAACAGGAAAAAAAAAGGGUUAAGAAAAUAACUGGGGAAAUCAGAGGGAAGUAAGUAAAACAAAUCCAGGAUGGAAGUGCAAGGAUCUCCCUUUCUACUCACAUUCCUCAUAGCAAACUUACUGGGUAUUGCCCAGGAAUGGGAUAAAAUACACCUGGAGAAAUACCACACUCACAAUAAGUGCCACUGUGAGGCACAGGCAUCAGAGCAUGUUACAGCUCCUGCAGAAACAAACACCACUGUGUUUGUGCCUGUUUGCUGAUGAAUAGGCAAAAUUAACAAAGAACAUGAGGGUUAAUACAAGGUGGAGAAGUAUAAAUAGGAAAGCAGCAUGGGAGAGAGAAUAAGAGGCAUUGUUCCAUGCUGGCUGUCAAGUCAGGAGCUGCCCUAAACACGCUGAACUGGAAGCUGAGGAUUCUAAACAGGAUAUACAGAGAUUCAGGUCUGUUUAAAAAUUAAAUCAAGCAAGAGUAACGUAAGGUCUGUGAGGUGGAUGUGCUCUUUGGUGCUGUUGCAAGUCACUUUAAAUUUCAAGGAAAAAUUAUGCCAGUGCACAUUAAUGCACAGGGAAAUAAAAGAGCAGAGAGCUCAGCACUUGAAAAGUGCCACUUGACAGGAGUGACAUGGUGAACAGUUUAAAAGCCUCUGAGUGGUUCUUGGAACCAGGAGCCCCACGCAACAAAGACACUGAAAUUCCGUAAAUAUUUGAUUCCAGAACAUCGUGUUCUUCCACUGACAUUAAUAAAUAUAUGGAAAAUACACUUAUUAAAGGUUAGGUUAUUCUGAGAAAGUGCUCUUUGCAAAUGUCAUCCAGCCCCGUUGCAUUUCCAAUUUGUGUGGAAGGUUUUUACGUCGUUUCGGCAGCAGCGUAAAAACACAGAUGAUUCAUGUAUAGAGAGUUAUUUAAGAAAAAUGCAGAUGGCAUUUUAGACAGGAAAAGGUAUUUUGAUUAUUUGCAGUUCUGGGGAAAACUGAGUUGAAAAACCAGCAUCCAAACAAAGGGAUUGGAGCCUACAUUUAAGUUUUGUGGCUUUGCUUGGAAAAAAAAGAUUUUAUCUGAUGACAACAUGAAAAUCUCAGAAGUUCCUAACAAAAUUAAACUGUGAAGCGGUUGAUUCACAGCAAUUAAUGAGAACUAUUACAGUUUAUUGCUUGACUUUUCUCUCUCUCCUUUUGUCUCUUGAAUCAUUUAAAGAAAACUUUGAACAUGGCGCAUUGAGAUCAAUUGAUUAAAUCUGAUUGUCCUUUUGCUCCACUGGUUGCCAGUGGAAACGAGCACAUUUAAAAAGAGCCUCCACUCACUCUUUGCAGUUUGUCUGACAAAGGCCAGCAGUGCUGACUACAUUCAAAAGCAAAACUGGCCAGCUGUUGUCAUUUUGCUGAUGAACAAUUUCUCUAUUAACACUUCUUUCUGUCAUAAUCUUGGAAAACACCAGGUUAUUCCAGCCAGAUUUUAAAUUGCCUGGAGGAUUUAUUUUGUAAUUGUCCCACAAAUUAGAAACCCAGGUUGUGGGGUAGAUCCAGGUGCUUUGCAAAUGAUUUAUGGAACUGGAUUGCAGUUGAAAUGAUCAAGAAUUUUCAUAACUUUUCCUUUGAAAUCUUGUCAUAGUAGCCAAAUAUUGGCAAAACAAAUAUUUUCCCAAAUCCUCUGUAUUCUUUACUUUGUUAUCAAAUGAUUAGAAUAAUUCCUUAGACCCUGAAUUAUUUGCCAUUGUAGAUGGGGUUCUGCAUGAGACAGCCUUGAUUCAGGUUGAAUUUCUGUGUAACCCUGUGUUCAGUUCCCAGAGUAGAAAAUAAACAGGUUUGAGAACUGGAGGAGGAACAGGAGGAAAACCAGUAGCCAGACUGUUCUGGCCUCCUGUGGUGUUCCCCUAAUGGCACUCUGGCUUCCCCUUUUAACUUGUGUAAGGCCUGGACUCCCAGAGGCACCAAAGCACAGCCCUAAUUUCAGCUCUCAUUGCUGAGCCUUCCCCCCUGCUGGAGGACAGGACCAUGUUAUGAUUAAAUUGUCACCAGGCUUAUUCAAUUGCAAGUUGGUGAGGCUCCUGUUGAAGCUGUUGAAUUUGAACCAGAGCCUCUGGAAGAGGGACAUGGACAGAAAUUUUACAUGCUCUUAAUAUUUAGCUGAAUUUAUUUAUUGAAGGGGGCUCUAUUAAUUAGCUGGGGGAAGGACCUUUGAUUCCCCUUUAAGUCCUAAAUUUAAACAGGCAGGGAGUAGCCUGGAAGAAUAUUUCAGAUUUGUGUGGCUUUCAUCUUUAAAUCAGAAUACAAAUUUUUAUGGACUACAGAUACUUUGUGCUGCAAUUUCUGUUUAGGUGAGAGCCAGGUUUCUGGCCACAUUGCUCUGAAAAAUGUCAGCAAGCACUUUUUACUUCUCCAGCAGUCUAAAGCCCUCCCCAAGGUCAUUCCUUGCCACAUCAUUUGGACUUAACUUGGAAGAGAAUUUGAUUUAGUCUCUUUCAUGAAA